rnacentral:rRNA from 1 species
AGUGAAGCGGCAACAGCUCAAAUUUGAAAUCUGGCGCAAGCCCGAGUUGUAAUUUGUAGAGGAUGCUUCUAGGUAGCGACCGGUCUAAGUUCCUUGGAACAGGACGUCAUAGAGGGUGAGAAUCCCGUAUGUGACUGGCCCGCACCUUCUACGUAGCUCCUUCGACGAGUCGAGUUGUUUGGGAAUGCAGCUCUAAAUGGGAGGUAAAUUUCUUCUAAAGCUAAAUACCGGCCAGAGACCGAUAGCGCACAAGUAGAGUGAUCGAAAGAUGAAAAGCACUUUGGAAAGAGAGUUAAAAAGCACGUGAAAUUGUUGAAAGGGAAGCGCUCACAACCAGACUUCUAGGCAGUGUUCCGCCGGUCUUUUGACCGGUCUACUCUCUGUCUCGAGGCCAACAUCAUCUGGGACCGCUGGAUAAGACCUUAGGAAUGUAGCUCCCCUCGGGGAGUGUUAUAGCCUCUGGUGAUGCAGCGAGUCUCGGGUGAGGUCCGCGCUUCGGCAAGGAUGUUGGCGUAAUGGUUGUCAGCGGCCCGUCUUGAAACACGGACCAAGGAGUCUAACAUCUAUGCGAGUGUUCGGGUGUCAAACCCCUACGCGUAAUGAAAGUGAACGGAGGUGGGAAGCGUAAGCUGCACCAUCGACCGAUCCUGAUGUCCUCGGAUGGAUUUGAGUAAGAGCAUAGCUGUUGGGACCCGAAAGAUGGUGAACUAUGCCUGAAUAGGGUGAAGCCAGAGGAAACUCUGGUGGAGGCUCGCAGCGGUUCUGACGUGCAAAUCGAUCGUCAAAUUUGGGUAUAGGGGCGAAAGACUAAUCGAACCAUCUAGUAGCUGG